CCUGCGCAUCUCAGGAUUUAAAACUCAAAACUUCCUCAAAAGCCCCAAACGUGGCCAAUAUGGACUAGCAGUUGAAGGUAACGUAGCCACCACCACCCCAAUCCUUCCGAAGGCAAUCUCGAGUUUUCAAUUUGAUCUUGAAGCCCUUUAACAACGCCCCGUGUUACAGCGUCUGGAGCCGUUACCCAUCAGACACUCGAUAAUGCCCGUCGGGUGCGUUUCCGGGGACUUCCCCUCCCGGCCAGUCCGGGCCAGUGCGGUUUGCGGUCGUGAACUCCCAGACUAGGCGCUGCCCACCCAUCUAACGACUCCCCAUCUCCUGCGAUCCCCGCAACACUACACAAAGCAAGGCUGCCCGGACGGACGGAGGCCUCUAAGGGGGUCCGAGUCCCGACCACCAGGUCUGACCUCCCAGCGCGGCCCUCCUCCGCAGGCGCUCCUCACCGGUACUCGUAGUGCUCAUCGAAGUACUUGUCUGAGUAGUAGAUCUGCUUGUGGGCCAUCCUGCCGGCGCGCAGAGGAGUAAGCGGGAUCAGGAAACCGGGCGCAAGGGGCUCUACGUCCGCCUAGGGCCGACGCAACGACUCGAAUGAGGCCAACGACCGCAGGCCCAACGCUCUGGAUUUGAAUCCGACAGCCCUCCGCCGAUUGGGCGAAGCCACCAACCAAUCACGCUCCGCGCAGACCUCGAGGACAGGUUUCCCGACUUCACUUGGCCCUCAGUUAAAGAGAACACAAGAUCGUCUGACUUCUUGCACAACUUUAAAGUUAUUUUUAGCACUAAAAUAAUAAAGGUGCUAAUUGCCUACCGAUAUUAUCACGUGAGACAACAGGUGGGAUUAAAAUUUCAACAUGUAAAUAGGAGGAUGUAAGCAUACACUCUAUAACACAAAUAAUAUGGAGGUAUGAGUUCUGUUCUGAAAGAUCUUUAAUUACUAUCUAAG
rnacentral:lncRNA from 1 species